rnacentral:rRNA from 1 species
UGGGGAAUUUUGCACAAUGGGGGAAACCCUGAUGCAGCGACGCCGCGUGAUUUAGAAGGCCUUCGGGUUGUAAAAAUCUUUUCUAUUGGAAGAAAAUGACAGUACCAUAGGAAUAAGGACCGGCUAAUUACGUGCCAGCAGCCGCGGUAAUACGUAAGGUCCGAGCGUUGUCCGGAAUCAUUGGGCGUAAAGGGUACGUAGGCGGGUAAGCAAGUUAGAAGUGAAAUCCUAUAGCUCAACUAUAGUAAGCUUUUAAAACUGCUCAUCUUGAGGUAUGGAAGGGAAAGUGGAAUUCCUAGUGUAGCGGUGAAAUGCGCAGAUAUUAGGAGGAAUACCGGUGGCGAAGGCGACUUUCUGGCCAUAACCUGACGCUGAGGUACGAAAGCGUGGGUAGCAAACAGG